UACGGGGGGGGCAAGCGUUGUUCGGAAUUACUGGGCGUAAAGGGCUUGUAGGUGGCCAGCUAAGUCAGACGUGAAAUCCCCCGGCUUAACCGGGGAACUGCGUCUGAUACUGGAUGGCUAGAGAUUGGGAGAGGGACGCGGAAUUCCAGGUGUAGCGGUGAAAUGCGUAGAUAUCUGGAGGAACACCGGUGGCGAAGGCGGCAUCCUGGACCAACACUGACGCUGAGGAGCGAAAGCCAGGGGAGCAAACGGG
rnacentral:rRNA from 1 species